rnacentral:lncRNA from 1 species
ACACUAUUGUCAGAUAUGAAUCUUCUGAGUGGAUCAAUCAGCUCCAGUUGUGGACUCAAUUCUACAAUAUGUGGUGCCAUCUCUUGGUGUAGGGUGUAGUGGGGUGUUUUCAGCUCCUACUUGAGCCCAACCCCAAAUCUAAGUGGGGAAUGUUUUGCUCAUUAUUAAGAAAGUUGUUACUUUUGUUGAAAGAAAGAGAAAAACAGACAGUGGAGGAGGAAUUUUCCUCUUUCUCGGCAGGCAGAGGGGAGGAGCGGGGGACCACCUUGAUUUUCAUUGACAUUUAUCACCCCUUAUAUUGGGAGAGAACAGUGCAUGAUCUUUUCCAAUACACCCUCAUACUACACAUUCUUGUGAUAAGUUUGGAUCAGUCAGUUUCCCCGUUCCGUACAGUCUUUUAGUGAGCAAGUACUUUCUUUAUUAGCGUAUGUUUUUCCACAAUACUUUAUUGUUAAUAUUAGAAUAACCAUUUUGGUAACGAACAAUCAUAAUCUUAAUUUCAGAAAAAAUCAUGAAUUUGAAAAUUCAGUGUUUUUAGAAAAAAACUUAAUUAAAAAAAUUGUUCUUUAUUUGUUCUUAUUUUUUUGUUUCGUUUUUAGUGGCAUGUCAAAAUAGUACAUGUGUUACAUAACUCAAAUGGAUAAUCUAUUCCCUUUUACCGCAAAAAUGAUCCUACCAUCAUCAUUGUGUGAGUUCCCAUACAUGGUGCAUCAUGAUUUAUAUAUCCUAACAACUUUUUUGUCAAAGAUGAUACAUUAGGGUUGGUUUAGCAUUCAAAUAAAUAGGUUUUUUGCAUAAUAACUUCUAAAUUCAAUCCAAAAUUCAAUCUCCUGUAGUUCCUCCUACUCUUAACGCCACUGUCUCUCUCUCUCUCUCAUGAUUUAUAUAUCCUAACAACUUUUUUGUCAAAGAUGGUACAUUAGGGUUGGUUUAGCAUUCAAAUAAAUAGGUUUUUUGCAUAAUAACUUCUAAAUUCAAUCCAAAAUUCAAUCUCCUGUAGUUCCUCCNNNNNNNNNNNNNNNNNNNNNNNNNNNNNNNNNNNNNNNNNNNNNNNNNNNNNNNNNNNNNNNNNNNNNNNNNNNNNNNNNNNNNNNNNCUCUCUCUCUCUCUCUCUCUCUCUCUCUCUCGCUCUCAAUCAGUAAGAGGAAGAAGAGAAAGAAAAUAUCUUAUUUCAUUAGGAGAAUAGUUGCCAUUUAUAUACGGGAUAUAACAGUUCAGUUCGGGUCUAAACAGGCCUGCUACAAGCAUCUGAAAAGAAAACAUAAUGACAUUCUUGUAGUAAAGGAAAAUUAUUUCUUAUUUAACACCCCCCCUCAAGUUGAUGCGUGGAUGUUAUCCAUGCCCAUCUUGUUGACUAGAUGUUGAAAUGCUGAACUAGGAGCCCUUUUGUAAAAAUGUCUACAAUCUGUUCAGAUGAUGGAACAUAUGAAAUAAUUAUAGCCUCAAUAUUCACUUUCUCCUUGAUGAAGUACCGACCAAUCUUGAUAUGCUUGGUUCUAUCUUAAUAUUCCAGAUUAUGAGAGAUAAAAAUAACAGACUUAUUGUCACAAUAAAGCUUGUUGUUAUUUUAAGAUACAUUCUCAAGUCUGCAAGGAUCCCUUUGAUCUAUAAGAUUUCACAUAUUCUUUGUGCUAAUGACUGAAAUUCUGCUUCAGCACUUGACCUAAAUAUCAUUGACUGUUUCUUACUCUUCCAUGUAACCAAGUUACCUCCAAUAAAUGUCCAAUAUCUUGUUGUCAAUCUUUGAUCAAUGAUACAUCCGAUGUAGUCUGUAUCUGUGAAGAUUUCUACAUCUCAACCCCACCUUUCUUGAAUAAGAGACCCUUUCCGAUGGAUAACUUAAGAUAGUGUAAUACUCUGUAGGCAGCUUGUAGAUGAAUUUCCUGGGGAUUGCUCAUAAAUUGACUGAGAAUACUGUAUAGGUAAUAUCAGGAUGUGAAUGGUUCAAAUAUAAUAGUUUGCCUAUCAAGUGUUGAUAAUGUCCUUGAUUUAUUGGAUUGUCCUCCUUAGCAGCUCCCAAUUUUACUCUUGAAUUUAUAGGAGUACAAGUUGGCCUACAUGUAAUUUUUCUUAUUUUCUUGAGUAUAUCAAGGAUGCAUUUGCAUCAACUCAAGAAGAUUCCUCGAUUUGAGUAUGCAACCUCAAUACUAAGAAAGUAGUGUAAUCUUCUUAGAGUCUUCACAUAAAAUUCUUUUGAUAUUCUCUUACAUAAUUAUCUUGCUUCCUCAUUGUCAUUACCCAUUACAAUUUUGCCAUCAACAUAAACGAGUAAUGGUGUCAUUCUUCUUGAAAGAUAAUGUUUAAUGAAUAGGGUGUGAUCUCCAUUGAUUUGCUUAUAAUUCAGGAGUUUGAGUUUCAUCCCUUGUAAAGCGAUCAAUUCAUGCCUUUGGUGAUUGUUUUAGACUAUAAAUAACUUUUUUCAGUUGAUAAACUAGAUUUCUUCCUUACAAGUUCCACUCAAAUCCAAGAGGUAAAUCUAUCUAAACCUCUUCAUCGAUUUCUCCAUGAAGAAACGUAUUUUUCACAUGAAACUAAUGAAUUGGUCAUCCAAAAUUAGUAGAGAGUGUUAUAAGUAUUUUGAUCGUUUACAGCUUGACUACUGGAGUAAAUGUCUCAUUGCAGUCAACACCAUAAAUUUGUGCGUAGCCUUUUGCUACUAGUUGAGCUUUAUAUUUGUCAAUUUCACCAUAAGGCUUAUAUUUUAUUGUGAAAACCCAUUUGCGACCCAUAGUUUUCUUUCCAGCAGGUAGUGGCAUCAAGUCCUAUGUUUUAUUUUCCUAUAAAGCUUUAAUUUUGAAGUCAAUAGCUUCUUUUCAUUUUCCAUUGGAUAAUGCCUCAUCUACGGUUUUUGGAAUUGGAGUAGAGUCUAGACUUGUCACAAAGUUUUAUAACUUGGUGACAAUCUGUUGUAGGACAUAAAUGAGUUCAAUGGGUAUAAAAUUAUUUUUGUGUGUGUUUUUGUCCCAUUGUGUGGAGCUAUAGGCAUUUCAAGUUUAGUGGCUUCUUCAUCCUCUUCUACUAGCUCAUCUUGUACCUCUUUAGAUUGGUCUUUAGAUUGAAUCAGUGGAUCAAUUAUGACAUCCUGCUGUGGCAGCCCCUGGGUAAUUCUUGGUCUCCCUUGAUCUUCCUUCAUUCCGUUUGACAUAGAUUUGAAUAGAUUCAAGUACCUUCUUUUUUGUGUUUCCAUGAAAUGAUACCUUGCUGAAAGUGGGAAUUGAAAUGUCAAAGUCACUUGGAUUUAGAAUAUCUCAUCCAAUAGGAUUCACAAGACUAUCUAGAGUAUAUUGUUCAAAGAACAUUUUAUGUUCAGUAAACGUCACAUUUGCUGAUGUGUAGAAUUUUUGGCUAUGUUGAUGAUAGCAACGAUAACCCUUUUGUGUUGAGGAGUAUCUCACAAAUAUACACUUAAUUGCUUUGGAUCCAACUUGUCCUUUUGUUGAUUGUGUAAAUGCACAUAUACUAUGCAUCCAAAAAUUUUUGGAUUCAAAUUUUUUUUGUGGUUCACUUCUUGAAAGUGGUGACUCAUUGUGUCUAAGGGACUGAUAUAAUCUAGAAUUCUAGACGACAAUCUAUUUAUCAAGUGGACUGUAGUCAAGGUUACCUCACUCCAAUAGGUUUUAAGAGUCUUGGCUUGAAACAAUAGAGAUCUUGUAGUCUCUGACUAUGGCCAAUUUUCCAUUCAGCCACUCCAUUUUGUUGUGGAGUAUAAACAUAGAAAGAUUCAUAAAUUAUGCCUUCUUUUUAAAAAUAUAAGUCCAUUGACAUAUUAAAGAAUUUCCUAGUAUUAUCAGAUCUGAAUCUCUUCACCUUUACUUCAAAUUGAGUUUUAAUCAUUGCAAAGAACGACUGAAUUAUAUAGCCACCUUUUUAUUUAUGUUUAAGAAGAUAUACUCAUGUAAAUUGAGCGUAGUCAUCAACAAAUAUUACAAAUCAUCGAGUAUUUGAUAUGCUGGAUAUUGGAACAGGGCCCCAUACAUCACUAUAGACUCAUAAAAUGGAGUUUUACUCUUCUCACUUGAAUUUCCAAAACAUGCCCUUUUUUGUUUUGCAAAUUAAUAAGCACCACACCCAAGAUGUUUUAUGUCCAUUCCCUUAAACAAUAUAGGGAAUAAACCUUUCAAAAUAGUAAAAGAUGAAUGCCCCAAACGAUAAUGAAAGGUCCAUAGUUUCUUUUGAGCUGAGGCAUCAAUUUCACCCGUAAUCAGAGAUGCCGAUGUAGGAGAGGUGGCAAUCUUCAGAUACCUCAGCCCAUCUUAUUCCUCAACUGGUCCAAUCUUCUGGCUUGUCACCUUGUUGAACAGAAAAUAAUCAUUAUGAUCAGUAAUAAAAUGACAUCUCACAUCUUUUACCAAUUUCUGAUGUGAUAUAAGAUGAGCUUUAAGUAAAGGCGCAUGAAGGAUAUUUUUGAUGAUCAAGAUAUGAUGGAGAUAGAGAUCUUCAAUUCCAACAACAUAUAACAAUUUGUUUUUUGUUGUGAAAUUUGUUCUAUUUCCUUCACACUUCGUAUAAGUUUGAAAUUUGAAGCCAUUGAAGUCAUAUGUUCUGUCGCACUAGUGUACAAUGCCCAGAAAAUGUAAUCUUGAGUAUUUUGAAACAAGUAAGCCGUAAGAACAUGUUAUCUCACCUGAGCGUGUUAUAAAAGUAGAACCCAACAUAGAUUUUAGUUUCUCCAUCUUUUCCUUUAGCUUCGCAGGAUCUUUAUUUUUGUUAGAAGUGAAAGAAUAUAUAUUCUCAGAGGUACUUUAUGGAGUCACAAUGGCUCCAGCUGGUUGAUCAGUGGUAACAUGAGCUUGUCCUUGUUGAGAAGGCCUUCCAUGUAAUUUCUAACAUGUUUGACGUGUGUGUCUCUUUCUUCUGCAGUAUUACACCAGGGAUUAUCUCUGGGGUCUGGUUUUACAAGCUUGCUUUGGGAGAGAACUAUUUCACUAGGAGUAGAGUUUGAUGUUGGAUUAUGAUGUGUUGAUAUCGAAUUUGGUUAUCUUGCUUUAGUUAUAAAUGCAUCUGUCUCCAUCUUGGAUUUGACAAUAAUACAAAAUCUACUUUCUUCUUGUAUCACAAUCUCAAUCGACUCUUCUAGAGUUGGCACCCUUUCCCUGUCCAAUAUCUGACUUCUAAUUGUUUCAUGAUCAACAUUCAAUCUCACGGAUUUUUCACGGGAUGAUAGUAAUCUAUUUCCUGCCAAAUCACUUUCAGUUCCCUUGCAUAUUCCAUGACACUUUUAUUUCCUUGUGUCACAUUCAUCACCUUUGUCACAAGAUGGUAUAUAUGUCAAUCAUCAAUAGUCUUUGAUCAACUAACAUGAACUUCAUCCCAUAACUUUUUUACAGUUGGCAUGAACAAGUAGUUUGAAUAUACAUCCAAGGUCAUUGUACUUGACAACGACAUAUAUAAAAUUGCUUCCUCCUCAUUCCUUGUAUUAUAGCAUGGAUCUUCUAGAUCAGGAGGUGAUUCAGUCAGAUGUUUGGCUUGUCUUCUUCCUCCCAAGAUAAGCUCCACAAACUGCUCCAGUGAUAAAGAUUUUUUCCGUCGAAUUUUGAUUUCUCAGGAAUCAAAAGAAGAUUCAGAUACCACGUCAUUUUCCACAGAGGUAUUGCCUGAUUUAAGCUGAGUGUAAACGGAGGUGGUCCCUGAGCUGUCCAUCUUGAUCAAGGAGUAUAAAAUUCCUUAAUCCACCACUUCUUGGUAAUGUUUGCUGUCAAGACAAGCUGUGCAUCCCCGUUUUUCUUUCCUCGUCUUUCUUG